AUCACUUCUCGGCCUUUUGGCUAAGAUUAAGUGUAGUAUCUGUUCUUAUCAGUUUCCUGCCGGUGGUCUCCACAGCACCGGUGUUGGACUGAUGGGGAUGGGUGCUGCAUGGAGGGGACAGGUGUACCAGGGUGUUCCAGGGCUGGUUCUGAGGAAUCAGCUUGACGGCUGCCCCGAUGUGACCUGUU